UUCCUAGUGGUCCAGUGGCUAAGACUCUGUGCUCCCAAUGCAGAGGGUCUGGGUUCGAUCCCUGGUCAGGGAA
rnacentral:tRNA from 1 species